UCUGCAACCCACAGCUGCAGCACAGCAGAGGGAAUCCUAAGAUCCUGGCACAGUUGCCCAAAGGGGUCCUCCCUGAGGGAGGGGAGGACCCACCCUGGAAGUGGGAGAGGGAAGUAUCUAGUGGAUUUGAGACAUUGGUAACCCCCUCUUACCUAUUGUGGUUUGGGUUUCCCUAUUAGGGGAAAGCCUUGGUCUAAGCUGACCUUGGGGGUGGGGUGGAUGAGAGGAAGAGGCCCAGGAAGGACAGCCUUAAGCAGCCUUGGUUGCCAGACUACUGGUAGCCCAAAGGGCCCAGGGUUGGAGCCUGGUGGAGUGGGAGGGCCUGGGCUCCCCUCCCCACAAUCCCCUUGUCAGUCAGGAGCUGCAGCUAUGACCACUAGGCCACACACCCCAAGUGAGGACUGUUACAGGCACCUUCCCCAGCACCUCCUCUGUUCCCUGCUCAGGCCUGGCUGCUGGAGAGUGGGGCCAAGUAAGCUGGAAACAUGCCGGGGGAAGGCAUAGUAGGAGAAGGGCAGAGUCCCCUCUCCCUCACACCUGCAGGUCUGAUGCUGCUGCCAAUCAAAUAUUUGGGAAAACUUCCUUGGCUUCGGUGAACAGGACUGGACAAAAGUGACUGAAGUCCUAAACUCUUAGAUACUUUGCCUGUAAAAACUGCGUAAAGGGCUAGGCUGCAGGGGGCAGAAUUAGAAGGAGGCUGUCUACAACCUGGAGAUAGAUGAGUCAGCCAGCAUUGAGCCCACGUGAGGAGCAACUGUACUCUGAACGUAGCAGCUGUCCAGCUAGUUGGAAGAAUUUGCAGUUGGUGGAGACUUCAUAUAUUAUAUAUUCUUGCUUGCUCUCUGGCUAUAAUAUGAAUGCACUGUAUCUCACCAAAAAAAAAAAAAAAGUAAAGUAUAUUCCUUGCUCUCUUUUCCCUUUCAGGACUUGCUUCCUGAGAAGUUAUCUGGCAAUCUUUUUUCAUUUUUGUCUUGAUAAAUAUACAUUGAAAAGUCCACUUUCUUUAAAAGUUGUGUUUUAUUUUGGAUUACAGCUGUGGACUUGGCAGCCUGUGUUCAUGAUGCACGGCUAUGGGUAAAUGUCUCAUUUCUCUUUUUAGUUUUAGCUAUUAGACUCUGCCUUUCUCGCUUCAUCUUUCUUUAUCAAAUACUAGAAAAUAAAUCCAAAAGUUGCAACACACAUGUGAGCGUGCUAAUACGUAUACAAAACACUAUGAUCAUGUAUUUGCACUACCAGUGCCCUAUAAUCAUGUGUUGCCCUUUGUACUAGCCUCAGGUGGCAGAUGCAAAUUACACAGUUUAUUGGGAGUGGCACUCUUUGCCAGAGAAAUCCCUAUACAACUCCAGAAUGCAGAGUAGGGUUGAUGCAUAGAACUAGGAAAUAGAUAUUAAUGACCAGGGGCUUUAUAUUCUUCUUGAAAGGUGUGAUUUUUUUUUAAAGGUGUGACAUGAUCUCUGGUAUAGCAAAGUUCCUUGCAUUUUCCUGCAGGCAGACUGGUAGUAUGUGGUUCUGCAAGGUGAUGUAUUUCUACAUUUGUUGUACCUAGAGACCAUUGUAACAAUCUAGUGAACUGAACUAUUGUAAUGGUCAGAGCCCCAAUCCUUUGGCUUCCUUUAUGCCCAUAAGGAGGCAGUUGUAUAACUUGAACCUAAAGAGGUAUUGUGCUUUUUUGAUUAAACUAUGGUUUGCUGUUGCACAUUACUCCUCUGUCUGGGGACUUUUGGUGUUAUCAGUUACUGGACUCUUUUUCCUGAUAAUGAAUAGAGCGGGUUGAAAUUUUCUGAGGGAACAUCAGAAAAUGCAGACUUGAUGAAAUUGAAAUGUUUUCUGGGAAUGUGUUUAAUAUUUUCAAUUGGAAAUUAUUGAAAUAUUUCAUAUUGACGUUUUAAUAAAUGUUGAAAUGGUUUAUAAUAAGUCACUUAUCUUCACUAUAGUCAAAAUGAUAAAUGUUUUGACAAGGCUGUUUUCCGUGUUUCUGGGAAAAAAAAAAAUCUGAAUUUACAUUGUGAUAAAUUUUGACUUUGUUCCAAUUUGGGGUGAAAGGAGAUUUUUGAAAUGUUGGAAUUGCCCCUGGACCAGAAAUUCCAUUUCCAAACCAGAAGAAACUCUCCAAUAAGUGGACUCUAAAUUGAGAAUGAUGGCAGGAUAUUUUCCCUGCACAUUAUUAGUAGUCCCGGUAUAAACUGGGCAGGGAUCUCU